UACGGAGGGAGCUAGCGUUGUUCGGAUUUACUGGGCGUAAGGGGCGUGUAGGCGGCCUUGUAAGUCGGGCGUGAAAAACUCUGGCUCAACCAGAGACGUGCGUUCGAUACUGCGAGGCUUGAGUGCAGGGGAGGAAAGCGGAAUUCCUGGUGUAGCGGUGAAAUGCGUAGAUAUCAGGAAGAACACCAGUGGCGAAGGCGGCUUUCUGGUCUGUCACUGACGCUGAUGCGCGAAAGCCAGGGGAGCGAACGGG
rnacentral:rRNA from 1 species